rnacentral:rRNA from 1 species
GCUUGGCCCUAAACCUCAGUAGUUAAACAACAAAACUACUCGCCAGAAUACUACGAGCAACGGCUUAAAACUCAAAGGACUUGACGGUGCUUUACACCCCCUAGAGGAGCCUGUUUCAUAAUCGAUAAACCCCGAUCUACCCCACCCUCUCUUGCUCAGCCUAUAUACCGCCAUCUUCAGCAAACCCUGAUAAAGGUUACAAAGUGAGCGCAAACGCCUCCCCGCAAAAACGUUAGGUCAAGGUGUAGCCCAUGAGACGGUAAAAAAUGGGCUACAUUUUCUAUAUCAGAAAAUCCACGAAAACUCUUAUGAAAUUUGAGAGUCCAAGGAGGAUUUAGCAGUAAAUUAAGAAUAGAGUGCUUAAUUGAACGAGGCCAUAAAGCGCG